rnacentral:tRNA from 1 species
CAGCAUAUAGUUUAUUUAAAAUAUAAUAUUUGGAGUAUUAAGAAGUCAUUGCUGA